UACGGAGGAUCCAAGCGUUAUCCGGAAUCAUUGGGUUUAAAGGGUUCGUAGGCGGUUUUGUAAGUCAGUGGUGAAAGCCCAUCGCUCAACGGUGGAACGGCCAUUGAUACUGCAAGACUUGAAUUAUUGGGAAGUAACUAGAAUAUGUAGUGUAGCGGUGAAAUGCUUAGAGAUUACAUGGAAUACCAAUUGCGAAGGCAGGUUACUGCUAGUGGAUUGACGCUGAUGGACGAAAGCGUGGGGAGCGAACAGG
rnacentral:rRNA from 1 species